GCCGGCAGCUAGCUCUCUGCAACUCUCACAUGGUCGCCCACUGAAGCUCAGCAGGGCUGCGCCCGGUCAGUACCAGGAUGGGAGACCACAUGGCAAAGCUAGAUUGCUGCCAGAA
rfam:Danio rerio chromosome 20, GRCz11 reference primary assembly.